rnacentral:rRNA from 1 species
GACGAACGCUGGCGGCGUGCUUAACACAUGCAAGUCGAACGGAAAGGCCCUGCUUUUGUGGGGUGCUCGAGUGGCGAACGGGAGAGUAACACGUGAGUAACCUGCCCUUGACUUUGGGAUAACUUCAGGAAACUGGGGCUAAUACCGGAUAGGAGCUCCUGCUGCAUGGGGGGGGUUGGAAAGUUUCGGCGGUUGGGGAUGGUCUCGCGGCGUAUCAGCUUGUUGGUGGGGUAGUGGCUGACCAAGGCUUUGACGGGUAGCCGGCCUGAGAGGGUGACCGGCCACAUUGGGACUGAGAUACGGCCCAGCCUCCUACGGGAGGCAGCAGUGGGGAAUAUUGCACAAUGGGCGGAAGCCUGAUGCAGCAACGCCGCGUGCGGGAUGACGGCCUUCGGGUUGUAAACCGCUUUCGCCUGUGACGAAGCGUGAGUGACGGUAAUGGGUAAAGAAGCACCGGCUAACUACGUG